rnacentral:rRNA from 1 species
CAGUCGCCACGGGAACACGGAGGGUGCAAGCGUUAAUCGGAAUUACUGGGCGUAAAGCGCACGCAGGCGGUCUGUCAAGUCAGAUGUGAAAUCCCCGGGCUUAACCUGGGAACUGCAUUUGAAACUGGCAGGCUAGAGUCUUGUAGAGGGGGGUAGAAUUCCAGGUGUAGCGGUGAAAUGCGUAGAGAUCUGGAGGAAUACCGGUGGCGAAGGCGGCCCCCUGGACAAAGACUGACGCUCAGGUGCGAAAGCGUGGGGAGCAAACAGGAUUAGAUACCCCGGUAGUCCCUGUCUCUUAUAA